rnacentral:rRNA from 1 species
CAGCAGCCACGGUAAUACGGAGGGUGCAAGCGUUGUCCGGAUUUAUUGGGUUUAAAGGGUGCGUAGGCGGCCUAAUAAGUCAGUGGUGAAAGCCUCCAGCUUAACUGGAGAACUGCCAUUGAUACUGUUAGGCUUGAGUAUACUUGAGGUAGGCGGAAUUGACAGUGUAGCGGUGAAAUGCAUAGAUAUUGUCAAGAACACCAAUUGCGAAGGCAGCUUACUAAAUUAUAACUGACGCUGAGGCACGAAAGUGUGGGUAUCAAACAGGAUUAGAUACCCGAGUAGUCCCUGUCUCUUAUAC